rnacentral:lncRNA from 1 species
UGAGAUAUCCUCCAUCCCAGACGACUCAAAUCAAUCUCCAACACUGCAGAUCACGAAUACGCCCACAUGUGCAGUUGUUCUUGCUGCAGCUUACGCGGAUCUUCCCUUUCUUGAAAAUACCGAUACAUCCCUUGCAAGUAUCUCAUCAUGAUUUUCCAAACUGAAACCAUCACGUGCAUUGAGAUAGACCUCUGUGAAUGUUUCUUCCUCUGACGUUGUCAUUGUCUACCACAAACAAACGUCAUCUGCUUCCUUCUCUGAUGCUACAUAUUUUAAGCAUUAUCUAUGGUUCGUCACACCUGAAAAUAAUCAUGUAAAUCGUGACUACAAAUCUACUGAUUCUUCUUCUCCAUAAUUUUCAGCUGAUGUCGAUGUUAAUCUGAAUCUCCUGUAGAACCUGAAUCACCACUGACUCAAACUAGAAGUUCUUUGACUCAAUCCUUAUCCAACCUCAAUAGCCCGUAGACAC